rnacentral:rRNA from 1 species
GGAAUAUUGCACAAUGGGGGAAACCCUGAUGCAGCGACGCCGCGUGAGUGAAGAAGUAUUUCGGUACGUAAAGCUCUAUCAGCAGGGAAGAAAGAAAGUCCUUUGGACUUUGGACGGUACCUGACCAAGAAGCCCCGGCUAACUACGUGCCAGCAGCCGCGGUAAUACGUAGGGGGCAAGCGUUAUCCGGAUUUACUGGGUGUAAAGGGAGCGUAGACGGCAGGGCAAGUCUGGAGUGAAAGGCAGGGGCCCAACCCCUGGACUGCUCUGGAAACUGUCCGGCUGGAGUGCAGGAGAGGUAAGUGGAAUUCCUAGUGUAGCGGUGAAAUGCGUAGAUAUUAGGAGGAACACCAGUGGCGAAGGCGGCUUACUGGACUGUAACUGACGUUGAGGCUCGAAAGCGUGGGGAGCAAAC